CCAUCAGCCUCCCAAAGUGCUAGGAUUACAGGCGUGAGCCACCGUGCCCGGCCGUGCCAGGGUUUUCUAUUGAGUUUCUUGCCAAGGGUGACUUCCAAUAACAAUCCCCCCCUGCACUUUGCUUAGUUCUGGAAAGCUCAGGCCGCACAGGGUGAAUAAAAGCCUGAGUAGUGCAGUCCCCAUGGAGGGGCAGGGGUGCCACAAGGUGGGCAGCAGCUGGGAUGGGCAUUGUGAGGCACUGGGGGGGCUGUGGGGCUGGACAUGGUGAGUCACUAGCCUGACCUGUUUCCUGGUAACCAGGUGACAUAGGAAGCUUUGUGGGUUAUAGGCAUUAGCCAGGCCAGCAGCCCUCAGUCGGUAGCUGGCAGUGGAGGGAGGAGGAGCUCCGACUGUGCUCUUUGACGGCAGUUUUUGUGCCUCUUGGCGCUUGUCGUGUUUCUUUUUGAGUCAGCUCCGACUGUGGCUGGCCCAGGGGGAAGGCAGCAUCCAGUUAUGAAUCUGAUAUUUAUGAGGCCGUGGCUGCUGCAACAUCAGAAUCCACUACCGUAGAGCCUGGCAAGCUGGAUGUGGGAGCCACGGAGGGCCAAGACCUGCAGCACAUCAGCAACCAAAAGAUGCCCACAGCUUCUGUUCUGGACCUGGAAGAUAUUGCGCUUGAUAUUGCGGAGGAGGUGUUAUCUGAAAUGGUCCCCCUGAGGACCGCCUGAGUUUAAAACUUCUACCACCAAGUGAGGAAGACAAUGAUGACACCAAGGUAAGACUCCUUUCUUUGCCUUCUAAGGAAAUGUUGCUUUCCUGAUGUCAGAAGCAAACUCACCCAUCCACACCCAAAGAAUGGACUCAGAGGCCUGCAGAACAGAAAAAGUGAGACUUUUAAUGAUGGUCUUGCAAGGUCGAGUGUCUGAUGGGCAGACACACCCAGAACAAUUUCAACAAGCAGUUUAUCCCCUAGUGUGCAAGUCCCUCCCCUGGUUCCUCAGAGGCUGCGUACUAUGGGGUCACAAUCUUCCCAGGUUGUCGCAUAUUGAUUGUUGGGUAGGAGCUUUAGGUUUUAUUUUUAUGGUUGUCUUAACUGCAUUUUGUUGCAGCCCACAAUGCAUUGCAAUCCUAGUCAGCUCAGGGGCUGUUCAAGUAUUUGACUUAUGACCUUAGUAGCUGGGCAGGCUGGUAAGAACAGACAAAGUGAGGUAUUUUGCAGGCUAGUAAACUUUCAACUUAGACUAAACUUCUUUGUUCAAGUGAUGGGAACUAAGUAGUGUGGAAGGGGGGCCCAACAAGCAGACAUUGCCUGUCCAACCAGGAGCCUAGUAUUUCUUCUGUACUUUUUUGACCUGAACCAGUUCAAGGCACUUUGUCUUAAAAAUGGAUCACUGUAUACAUUAUUUCCUUAACCUGAUUUCUUUCCUUCUCAAUUAAUUUUCACUUAAUAUGAUGAGGCAUAUAAAAUACAAAUACACAAUUCUCUUUGUGAGGAUGGAGUUCAGUGGGAAUGUCUUCCCAUCUAAUACGUGACACACUAGGAUGUUUUUAAAUGACAGCAUCCAUCAUCAACUGUAAUGCAGAGGCAUUUUCCUCCACACCAAUUUUCCUCUUUGAAUUAGGCAUUGUGCAUUUACCAAUCUAAAUCAACUUCAAAGAAAUUCUGUGGGAAAAGCUCUUGUCUUUUCCACAGGUGUCCUCCAUGCUAGAAUGUUUGCUCUUUGAACCUUGACUCAACCAGUUUCACAACUAGUUUUCUGAAGUCAUCAAGAGACUAACUGAUCUGUGUAAGGGGUGCAGCAGAAUUGAUCUGAUCCUCAUAGAAUCUUCUUUUGUCUCAUUGCAGAUUUUACCAUCACCUAUCCAGGAGUGGAUUCUGGAGAAUCUCAGCAGGGAAGAGGAUACCUUUCCAGGUAGGCAAGAAGACUUCAGGUGGGAUCUAAUAAA
rnacentral:lncRNA from 1 species